UACGAAGGGUGCAAGCGUUACUCGGAAUUACUGGGCGUAAAGCGUGCGUAGGUGGUUUGUUAAGUCUGAUGUGAAAGCCCUGGGCUCAACCUGGGAACGGCAUUGGAAACGGGCUUACUAGAGUGCGGUAGAGGGGUGUGGAAUUCCCGGUGUAGCAGUGAAAUGCGUAGAUAUCGGGAGGAACAUCUGUGGCGAAGGCGACACCCUGGACCAGCACUGACACUGAGGCACGAAAGCGUGGGGAGCAAACAGG
rnacentral:rRNA from 1 species